rnacentral:rRNA from 1 species
UGCAAGUCGAGCGAGAUACUUCGGGUCUAGCGGCGGACGGGUGAGUAACGCGUGGGAACGUGCCCUUCUCUACGGAAUAGCCCCGGGAAACUGGGAGUAAUACCGUAUACGCCCUUUGGGGGAAAGAUUUAUCGGAGAAGGAUCGGCCCGCGUUGGAUUAGGUAGUUGGUGGGGUAAUGGCCCACCAAGCCGACGAUCCAUAGCUGGUUUGAGAGGAUGAUCAGCCACACUGGGACUGAGACACGGCCCAGACUCCUACGGGAGGCAGCAGUGGGGAAUCUUAGACAAUGGGGGCAACCCUGAUCUAGCCAUGCCGCGUGAGUGAUGAAGGCCUUAGGGUUGUAAAGCUCUUUCAGCUGGGAAGAUAAUGACGGUACCAGCAGAAGAAGCCCCGGCUAACUCCGUGCCAGCAGCCGCGGUAAUACGGAGGGGGCUAGCGUUGUUCGGAAUUACUGGGCGUAAAGCGCACGUAGGCGGACUGGAAAGUCAGAGGUGAAAUCCCAGGGCUCAACCUUGGAACUGCCUUUGAAACUAUCAGUCUGGAGUUCGAGAGAGGUGAGUGGAAUUCCGAGUGUAGAGGUGAAAUUCGUAGAUAUUCGGAGGAACACCAGUGGCGAAGGCGGCUCACUGGCUCGAUACUGACGCUGAGGUGCG